UACGUAGGGGGCAAGCGUUGUCCGGAAUUACUGGGCGUAAAGAGCGCGCAGGCGGUCGUUCAAGUCGAGUGUGAAAAGCCCCCCGGCUCAACUGGGGAGGGUCACUCGAUACUGUUCGACUUGAAGGCGGGAGAGGGCAGCAGAAUUCCCGGUGUAGUGGUGAAAAUGCGUAGAUAUUCGCUUGGGAAACGCCCGAAAGGUGAAA
rnacentral:rRNA from 1 species